GCAAAUUCAGUGGAAAUCUGUAAGUAUUCAGAUUUUGUCUAAUCUUCUUAAAGACAUCUAAUCAAAAGAAAGGUAAAAUUACUAUAAAUGAGAAAGAUCUUUAGCUUACUAAUAUUGAGGAACUUUCUGACACCAAUAAAAACUACAAAUACUGAAAAACCGAUUUUUUUAAAGUAUGGGCUCAGAACCCAAUUAAAAGCAUGAAAGAGAACAAAGAAUAAAGUACUACAAGCUCUUUUGUGGAGACCUAUCAAAAAAGAACGUCAUCUUCUUUCCCAAAAUUUUGUUUUUUUGUUUUUUAAUUCCUCAAAUCUUUACUUCUGUUGGAAUAUAAAGCGUUUGAACUUUAAUACAAGUUAAAAAAUUUAACAUUAAAAUUUUCACAAUGACCAUUUUUAAGUCCUUAAGACAAAAUUCUU
rnacentral:lncRNA from 1 species